rnacentral:rRNA from 1 species
GACGAACCGUGCGAACGUCGUUCGGAAUCACUGGGCUUAAAGGGCGCGUAGGCGGCCGGCCAAGUCAGGGGUGAAAUCCUGCAGCUUAACUGUAGAAGAGCCUUUGAUACUGGCCGGCUCGAUGGAGGUAGGGGUGCGUGGAACUUCUGGUGGAGCGGUGAAAUGCGUUGAUAUCAGAAGGAACGCCGGUGGCGAAAGCGACGCACUGGAUCUCUACUGACGCUGAGGCGCGAAAGCUAGGGUAGCGAACGGG